rnacentral:rRNA from 1 species
UACGGAGGGGGUUAGCGUUGUUCGGAAUGACUGGGCGUAAAGGGCGCGUAGGCGGCCAUUCAAGUCGGGGGUGAAAGCCUGUGGCUCAACCACAGAAUUGCCUUCGAUACUGUUUGGCUUGAGUUUGGUAGAGGUUGGUGGAACUGCGAGUGUAGAGGUGAAAUUCGUAGAUAUUCGCAAGAACACCAGUGGCGAAGGCGGCCAACUGGACCAAUACUGACGCUGAGGCGCGAAAGCGUGGGGAGCAAACAGG